CAGACUCGCAGCGUUUUGUACGCACCGUAUAUUGUUGCCGUUUCGAUUUCGAUUGUUGUCGUCCGCGAAGUUGGUCAUUUCUUAAACCACCAAGAUUAUACGCUGGUACCUAACUAAAUAUAAAAAAACAAGAUUGUCGUGUUAGUGUGACAGAAGAUUUCUUACUACAGAAUCGUGUGGUUUUAAACUGGUGUGAGAGAAACGAUAACGAGGAGACAAUAUGACUUCGCCUGCGAUAAACGGAAACGGCCAGAAGGAAAACGGAAAAGGCGAAUCGGCUGCAACAGAGGAAGCAGCAUCUCGAUCUCAGACGCCGCCGCUAAACAACAAUCAGGCUGAGUCUUUAAGACCCUCGUCAUUCUUUACCGCUUCGUGGCGAGUUUUUAAAAUGGCCAAUCUACUCAUGCAACAGGGCUGUUAAAGUUACGCGUCCCUAGUCUCUUUCACUUUUUAAUGGAAAUUGUUCGUGAUAUGGUAACGCUUGAUGGAAUAUACACGAUGUCCACUUUAGAAGAUGCCAAAACAUCGGGGCAUGUCUCUUAAAUCAGUAUUGGUAUACAUACACUCAUACAUUUGUAUAGAAUUCUAGUCCUUUUCACAAUUUAAUCUUGUUUUCUUACUCAUAAUCUUAUUGGUUUUUAUUUUUUAAAUAGACAACAGAAAAAACCUUUAAGGAUCAGUGUACUUAAGGGAUGUAAAUGUACAAAACACAACAUAUAAAUAAAAUAAAAAAUUGAAAUAAAAAUGCAAAUUUUUCUAAUUUAAUUUGCACUUUUAAGGUUAGGAAUCUUGGUUAAAAAUAUAUGAAGUAAUUAGACUGUUUUGUUUACUCUAGUGUUUCUAAUAAUUUAUUAGGUAGCACGUCAUUUCUUUGUAUACUCCUAUAUUCAAGGGAGAAAUCUACUUGUGCCAACACUAUUCGGGGGUCCAACUAAUUAAUCAAACUAAUUGCCAUUUUGUCAAAAAACUGUUUUCUUUAAUGAUGUAUAGGAAAAGAAAAAACAGCGCAUUGUAAACAAUAAAACUUUCAUUAGUCAGGUUGUCACUUUGAUGACUAGUACAAAAGUAUGACUACAACGUUCCUUCAGUAUAAACAGCUGUUCUAGUCUGACAAAAAAUAACCCAAAACAAGCGACGGGUAAUCCCCUGUUCCGUUCAAUAAGUGCUCGCGUAGGUUGAUUGAUCUCGGGGUUGUCAACCUUAUAAUUGUAAUUUUUAAAAUUUUAGAUUAUUGUGGUAGCGACAGCCCUUUAUAUUCUCGGGCCCCUGAUUAGCUACAGAUCCUUAUAAAUUAAACUAGGCAUUUUAAAUCCCAUGUUAACCUAUUGAUUAUUAUCUGCUAGGAAUUUUAACCUUAAUAAAAACCUUUGAAUGGACUUUGGUCCAAAUAAUUUACGGUGGUUAUAGAAAAGUACUAAAAGAUCAUUAAUGUGAAUUGCCAGAGUUGAUAUCCUUUAAGUACGCUGAAACUUAAUUUAGAGUUUUAGAGAAACAUAUGGUUAUAAUUGGUUGAUUUUAUGGUGGAUAUCCAUAUAACCUAGUAACCAGUCAGUUACUAUAGUUUAACAUUUUGGCUAGGUGGAUAGUGGUGGUGGUUUUUACAAUCGCAAUCCCUUCCCAAUUUAUAGUAUCUCCACAAGUCCUAUGUACAAACAAUUUAUUUAAACCUUUCUUCUAACUAUGUACUUAAAUAAUAUACAACUAUUAUUAUUACAUUUCCACGUAAGAUCAAUAAUAAAAGUUCUAUAAAUUAAUUUUAAAAAAUAUUUACAGUUACAUUACUGUUUUAUUUAAAUUUUAAUUCUUGCACGAAACAUAAUUUCAAGCUCGUCGGAGGCCUGAGGUGGUAAUACGAAAUAAUACUUCAGGCUGCUUAAAAAUUGGAUUUGUACUGUACGGUUUUUCUGCGGUUAGUUCCAAGGUAAAAAUGUUGCUGUUUACACUUGAUAAGAACAACCGCCUAAAUCUAAAUGACUACCUUAAUUGGAUUUUAUUAUUCAUAAUAAAAAAAUAAACAAUAGUUUGAAAAAGAAAAAAAUUUAAGAAUAUUAUACUAUUUCAGUUAAAAAGAUAAAUCAUCUGUAAGCUGUUCACUACAGCAUUACGUAUUUUUAAACUGCACUUAUACUACCUACAUCUAUUUAGAUGGUGUGGGUAUUAAACAACGCUUCAAUUGUGUUAACAACGUAUUAAUUUCAUGUUUCAUGCAAGGUUUUAUGAACUUAUAAAUUCUCUGUUUAAGACAUAGAUAGAUAAUUUACAUAACCUGACCUAACCUGACCUGACAUAACCUAACUUAACUUAACCUAUUUAGGUUAAUAUGUUGGUUACCUACAAGGCCUCCAACUUCAAAGACAAAACUGACUCUUAUAACAGCUGAAUGUAUUUUGAUUUUCUAUGGGAUUUCUUUAAAAAGAACAUCUCAAAAUUUGGAGGUCUCUCAAGGACAGAGGUCCAGAUCAAAUUGCCCCCUCUGCCCUCUUAGUCUGCUACUAACCUCUUUUUCUCAACUAUUUCACCAGCCUACUAUUAUUAAGUAUUCAAGAUUAAUUUUAAACGCUAAAUUUUUUACUUUUUAAAAAUAUAAUCUUUCUUAUUGGUAAAUAUAUUUACAUAUCGCUAAAUAUGGAAAUGUAUCAACGUAUUAACCAAAACUUUUACAUUUAUUUACCAGAAUUUACACAGUUAUACCUACCAUAUUUACAUACUGUAUUGAGUAAUAUUAUUUUUAAAUGCUGCUUUUACAGUCAGUAAUUGCUCAUUAUAAGUUAGUAAGUACGGUAUGAAACACCUUUCAAUAUAUUUAAACGUUUACUAUACAUUGUUUGAUUUUUGUCGACCUUUGAAUGGCAAUAAUUUGUACAGUACAGCUUGCCACUUAUAACUUUUUACCUUGACUGACUACUUCAUAAAUAUAUUGCAAGGCUGCUGCGAUAUCACAGUAAAGGUAUACAUAGAUAAAUAAUGCAGAGCCAAAAAUAUCCCAGACGUAAUGUUAAAUGUACAGUAUUGUCCGUAAUUUAUAAACCUAAACCCGAUCAAAAUGAAUUAAUGUUUGUCAUUGUGUAUAUUGUAUUGUGCGCUAUCGUAUUGCAAGCAAUUUCUAAAAAAUGUAGUCACAAUUAAGAAUAUCGCCAAAUCUAGCGAAGUUUAAUAUCAAUAAAUAAAUAAUUAAUUAUUUAGCGAAGUUCAUUGUAGAGUAAUUAUUAUAAAUUCGUCUAUUUACAAGUUUGCAAGGGCGUUAUAAAUUCUUCGUUCUGAGUAGUUUAAUUAAAUACUGUAGUAGUUUUUAAAUAAUAAUAAAUAAUUAUUAAUGGGGAUUUAUUGAAUAAUAGACGCAGGCGACAUAAAGUGACUCGAUGACGUAUCCAAUAAAUAAUCAAUAAGUAUCUAUUGUUAAAGUUAAUAACAAGAGUAACAAUAAUAAUAAUAAUGUUAGUUUCUGCCAUACUUAUAAAAAUUGUGAUAGUUUAUAAUCUUGUUACGUAGAGUUAAGUAACUUGUUAUUUUUCAUAAUAUUGAAUGUAUAUUUAUUGUAAUUUGGUAUAGAAAUAAAUUUCUAUUAUUGACCAGUA